UGGGGAAUCUUGCACAAUGGGGGCAACCCUGAUGCAGCGACGCCGCGUGAGCGAUGAAGCCCUUCGGGGCGUAAAGCUCUUUCGACCGGAACGAUAAUGACGGUACCGGGAGAAGAAGCUGCGGCUAACUACGUGCCAGCAGCCGCGGUAAUACGAAGGGUGCAAGCGUUACUCGGAAUUACUGGGCGUAAAGCGUGCGUAGGCGGUCUGUUAAGUCUGCUGUGAAAUCCCCGGGCUCAACCUGGGAAUGGCAGUGGAAACUGGCGGGCUAGAGUACGGUAGAGGAUGGUGGAAUUCCCGGUGUAGCGGUGAAAUGCGUAGAGAUCGGGAGGAACACCAGUGGCGAAGGCGGCCAUCUGGACCAGUACUGACGCUGAGGCACGAAAGCGUGGGGAGCAAACA
rnacentral:rRNA from 1 species